rnacentral:rRNA from 1 species
UACGUAGGGUGCAAGCGUUAAUCGGAAUUACUGGGCGUAAAGCGCGCGCAGGCGGGUUGGUCAGUCUGGGGUGAAAUCUCACGGCUCAACCGUGAGGGGUCCCUGGAUACUGCCAGCCUUGAGGGGCUCAGAGGAGAGUGGAAUUCCGGGUGUAGUGGUGGAAUGCGUAGAUAUCCGGAGGAACACCAGUGGCGAAAGCGGCUCUCUGGGGGCAACCUGACGCUGAGGCGCGAAAGCGUGGGGAGCGAACCGG